rnacentral:rRNA from 1 species
GACGAACGCUGGCGGCGUGCUUAACACAUGCAAGUCGAACGGUGAAGCGCCUUCCUUUUUGGUGGGUGUGGAUGAGUGGCGAACGGGUGAGUAACACGUGAGUAACCUGCCCCCUUCUUCUGGAUAACCGCAUGAAAGUGUGGCUAAUACGGGAUAUUCUGGGUCUGUCGCAUGAUGGGUCUGGGAAGGUUAUUGUUUGGGUGGGGGAUGGGCUCGCGGCCUUUCAGCUUGUUGGUGGGGUGAUGGCCUACCAAGGCGGUGACGGGUAGCCGGCCUGAGAGGGUGGACGGUCACACUGGGACUGAGACACGGCCCAGACUCCUACGGGAGGCAGCAGUGGGGAAUAUUGCACAAUGGGCGCAAGCCUGAUGCAGCGACGCCGCGUGAGGGAUGGAGGCCUUCGGGUUGUGAACCUCUUUCGCCAGUGAAGCAGGCCUGCCUCGUUUGUGGGUGGGUUGACGGUAGCUGGAUAAGAAGCGCCGGCUAACUACGUG